rnacentral:rRNA from 1 species
GCCACUAGACUAGCAGAGAUGCUUUGGUGCCUUCGGGAACUAUGAGACAGGUGCUGCAUGGCUGUCGUCAGCUCGUGUUGUGAAAUGUUGGGUUAAGUCCCGCAACGAGCGCAACCCUUAUCCUUGUUUGCCAGCGAGUAAUGUCGGGAACUCCAGGGAGACUGCCGGUGAUAAACCGGAGGAAGGUGGGGACGACGUCAAGUCAUCAUGGCCCUUACGAGUAGGGCUACACACGUGCUACAAUGGCGUAUACAGAGGGCUGCCAACCAGCGAUGGUGAGCGAAUCCCAAAAAGUACGUCGUAGUCCGGAUUGGAGUCUGCAACUCGACUCCAUGAAGUCGGAAUCGCUAGUAAUCGUGGAUCAAAAUGCCACGGUGAAUACGUUCCCGGGUCUUGUACACACCGAA